rnacentral:rRNA from 1 species
GCGAAAAAGCGCGUGCUAAACAAACUUUGGCGUAAGCCACAUACCAUGAGAAACUUCACAAAUGCCAACAUUAACCAAACAAGAAGAUGGUUUUAUGUUUAUAGUUUAGCACAAAUGACAAGUACUUCAAAACCGAGAUGCAUAUCUGAUACAUCACAAUUCCUUUUGCAGUUUAGUAACUGAAAAUGUACAAUAUAAUUAGGCAAAGCAAAACU